CCCUUUCUGGCCUCCCAACUGGAGACGUGUUUGGCACCCUGUGCUAAGAUCCCUGUACUGGGCGCGAGGGUCGAUGGCUAGCUGUGUCGACAUCCAUCCACAUCAGAAGCCCUCCUCUGGCCUGAUGACUUCAGAGCCUCACAAUGAAGACCUGGAAAGAUGAAGUGAAAACAAGGAAGGGGUCCAAGGCCUACCAGGCACCAGGCUGAUAUCAUAGGAAAGACAGCAAUAACCAAGCAGGGUAAUGCAAUAAAAGAGCCCAAGUGGAACCUCUGGCUCCCCAAUUCUGCAUGACCU